rnacentral:rRNA from 1 species
CGGCCGCCUGUUUAUCAAAAACAUAGUUAAAAGCAUUAAUUUUUAAUUAUUUCUGCCCAGUGUAUUAUAUAAACGGCCGCAGUAAUUUGACUGUGCUAAGGUAGCAUAAUCAAUUGGCUUUUAAUUUGAGUCUGGAAUGAAAGGAUUUAUGAAGAUUUACUGUCUCAAAUAUAUAUUAUUGAAUUUAUUAAAAAAGUGAAAAUACUUUUAUUAUUAAAAAAGACGAGAAGACCCUAAGAAUUUUUAGAAUAUAUUAUAAAUUAUUUCUUUUUGUUGGGGCGACAAUUAAACAAUAGAACUUUAAUUAUUUUGUCAAUCGGUUUUUUCAGUAAAAAAUAAAUUACCUUAGGGAUAACAGCAUAAUUUUUAAAAGUUUGUGACCUCGAUGUUGGACUAGGAACUUUAUAGCUAGCAGUUAAAAAAGAUUGUUCUGUUCGAACAAUAUUUUCCUACAUGAUCUGAGUUCAAACCGGAGCUCCA